rnacentral:rRNA from 1 species
UACGUAGGUGGCAAGCGUUGUUCGGAAUUAUUGGGCGUAAAGGGCGCGUAGGCGGUUUGUUAAGUCAGCUGUGAAAGCCCGGGGCUCAACCCCGGAGGGUCAGCUGAUACUGGCAGGCUAGAGUACAGAAGAGGUAACUGGAAUUCCCGGUGUGGCGGUGAAAUGCGUAGAUAUCGGGAGGAACACCAGCGGCGAAGGCGGCAUCCUGGACUGGUCCUGACACUCAGGAGCGAAAGCGUGGGGAGCGAUCCGG